AUUCUUCUGUGUAUUUUAGUCAUUCAACCAUAAUUUUAAUAUCAAUAGUUAAUAUUUAGAAAAUAAAGACAUUUUUCUAUGUGCACAGUUUCUGUCAAGAAUCAAGAACAUGAAGCUGACCUUAAGCAUUACCAGGUAAUCAUCAUGACGCUGAAUCUGAAGCAGGUUAGCCAAAGCCAUCACACCAGCCUUAAAAUCAGGAUUAUUUACUAUAAAAGAUUAAAAACAAACAAAAACUUACAACCCUGCAAACGUAUAAUUACAAACAUAUUUGUGAACAUACAAAAACAUUUUUAACUUUUCGGUAGCAACAAAUCUCUUAGUUUUUAAAACUGCUACUCACAAGAGAAAAAAGAAAGCCCUGUAGACUAUCAACAAUUAAAUAAAUUGGUAAGAUAAAAUGGUUUUCCUAUUACUGUAUGAGACGGUCCCCAACUUAGGAUGGUUAGACUUGUAAUUUUUUGACCUUACAAUGAGUUCAGUGGGAUGUAACCCUAGUGCAAGAUGAGGAAAAUCUGAACUUACAGUGGUUCCAACUACAAUUUUUCAGCUUUACAAUGGGUCUUCCGGGGUAUUAAAUGCAUUUUUGACUUAUGAUAUUUUCGACUUUGGGACAUGAUCUCAUCCUAAGUCAAGGAGUAUCUGUAUUUCAUCAGCCAAACUGAAUAAUCCAAUAAAUGACUAAUUUAACUCACAUUAUAUUUGUCCUGUAACUUUUUCUGCAAGGCUAAAUUAUACAGCACUUUUAAUUAACAUUUCUUCCCAAGGCCAUUAAUUUUAGUACAUAGAUCCCCUCCAUGGAUAGUUUUCCCAAAACCUUCUCUCUAAGCAGCAGCUCUGGAGUGUCCAAGAGGCUCACUCAUUCAAAAGGGUUAACUCCUAAAUUAUAGGUCACAAUGAAUUAGCCAGUGAACAAAUAUUUUACACAUCAUAAUUUAGGUAAUUAGAUUCUUCAUAUUUUUAAAAAGGGAAAUUACUAAAAGAUAUCCAGGACUUAAAAUAAUGGAAAAUUUUACCACUUGUCUGAUAGAGUCAUUGGAUUAAAAGAAAUUUACACAUUCAAAAAGGCAAACAAUGACCCCCAUGAUUAAAUACAAAUCAAAACUCCAAAUUACUAGAAGCAAAUCAAAUCAACAUUCAGAUAUUCAAAUGCAAGGGGAAGGAGAAAGCACAUCAUAAAAACAUUAUAGAGAAUAAAAUGUUAACAUAAAUGCUGUCUGCAUGGAUCCUUCUAAAUUUACUAAAACCAAGUAAACCUGGACUUCAUUCUUCAAAGAAAAAAACAUUUAAAAAACCAAAAAUGUUGAUGUUCAAUGUUAUGCAUUUAUAUACUCACCAUCCAAAUUGAUCAAUGGUUCUGCAUUUUUAGUUGCAUUGUCAGCAGUUUUUGAAUUAUCAGGUACUAAAUCCUUGUAUUUUUCAGCUAUAAAAACAGGCAAAAAUAUAAUUUGUACAACUGCAACUCAAGGUAAAAUGACUACUGCUAUUUACCAAAUUUAACUGAGCCAAAAUGAUUACAGGUUGAGUUUCCCUUACUGGAAAUGCCAAUAAUUUCCAAUUUUAAAUUUUUUCAGACUUCGGAUUAUCUGCAUAUAUAAAAUGGGAUAUUUUGGGGAUGGGACUGAAGUCUAAACACAAAAUUCAUUUUUAUGUUCAAUGUACAACUUAUACACAUAGCCUGAAGGUAAUUUCAUAUAAUAUUUUUAAUAAUUUUGUGCAUGAAAUAAAGUUUGUGUUAAGUG
rnacentral:lncRNA from 1 species